CCAUUCCAGAGAGCCUACACAAAGGUGCCUCUGUAAAGAGACAAAUGGCCUCCGACGCUCAGAGCAUAACCCUUGGCAGGGCUCAGCAAGCGCACGUUGAGUUCUUGGUCGUCCUUCCAGCGAGAGCAACAGCUUUUCCCUGAACCUGCUGAGGAGGCAGAAAGGCUGUGCAAAGCUGUGUUUCCAUUCUUGGUUCUCUCCGCUGUCAGUGGGCACUUGUUAUUUCCCGAAGCCUUCUCCUGGUGGCUGUGUUUGUUUAGAGACAGCUCCAGGAGCCCCCAGAGCUGUCUGCACAGCAUACCUUAGAUGUGGUAUUUAUUUUCUUAGUCCUGUGAACACCUGGGAGGAAAAGCAGAGAAACUGGGAUUUAUUUUUCAAAUUGGUGUCAUAAUAUUGUAUAAAAAGGGAAGGAAAAAAAAACCACCCCCAGCUUCUUUCUUUUUCAAGCCAAAGUGUGUUUCCUGUUUGAGUUCCAAGCCCUGGUGGCAGUCUAUUCCUGAAGGCAGAGAAGUCAGGCGGGAAAGGCCGUUUGCUGAGGAGACCAGGAGACAAACCAUCAGGUGGUUCCUCCAGCCUCUUUGCACCUAGUCCUCCCAGAGUAUGACCUGAGGGCCCUUCUGAUGGUCUUAUUUGUGUACAUAUGUGUUGCGUAUAUAUUCAUAAAUAUAAAUAUUUAUUUACUGAUAGACUUUUCCUGAUUUAAAAAUAUAUAUUUAGCAUAGGAACAGAAAAUGGAAAAGAUAAAGAAGGUUUUACUCCUCCAUUCCACCAUUUCCUUGUCAAGACAUAUUGCCCUGUGAUGACUGUGUGAUUUAAGGGAAAUGAAAGUAGAUUCUUAUCAUAGAGAAACUGAGAAUUCUUAUUCUGGAUCAUUAAAACAACCAUGAAAUAUAUACUGGGCAGGAUUUAUUCUUCCAUUUAUCAGAUAAGAAAACCGAGUCUCAGAAAAUUAAGAGACUUGUCCAUGAUAUCUUGGCUAAUGUGGUUUGGGAUGAGGUGCCACUUAAGAAGAUACAAAAAAAGAAAAGGAUACUCGAUAGAGAAAAUAACCACACAUCUUGGAACAGAGUCAUUUCUGGUCACUGAGAAAUGAUUCCAUUUGAAUCCAGGUUGCCAGGGAAGAAUAAAUGUGCAGCACAUGUGUGCAUAGGCCAAGCCCACAUGAGAAAAUGAGGCCUCAUGAUUGAUGCUUCUCAAUGAUGCUCUUUGGCCUGAACUGAUGAGAAGUUGGUCUGAGUUGAAGGCACUGAACAGAUCAUCAAACUCUCCACAUAUCACCUCAUCACGGUCAUCAUAGUCUCUCAGCAUGGAAACAACCCGGCUGGCUACAGGGAUAACCUCCGUGGAAAGUCACAGGAGGGCUGAGGUAUCUUCUGCAAGGUACUGCCAGCCAGUACGCAGAAGGGUCUCAACAAAGCUCUGUGGGCUUCCUUCAGCUGGUGCUGGCAUUACCCUCCUUUCCCGAGAGCAAAUGUCUAUGGAGCUUCUUCGAUAGAAGAAACAUUUGCCUUGCUCCCUCAGGCCUCCAUCCCCUCUGAGAUUCCUCAAGAGGAAGCCUGGGCUCGCUGGACAUUGCUCCGCUGAGCUUCCUCUAAUCUCCUGGCACUGAGUCAGGAGCUUUGUUCAAGGAAAGGAAAAUUACGAUUGUGUGUACAAAUUGAUUCUAACUCUGAAGGAAGCAGUCAUCUAGGACCGUGUGGACUGGACAUCUAGGACCAUCCUGCUCAACCUAUCAGUGCAGAGCACCGGGCAAGGGGAAAACCAGGCCACCCGAAGAAUCUCCUGAGGAAUUGGAGCCAUGGUGAUGGGAUCAACAAGCUCCAGAAUGACAGCAGAUAGCAAGAGGCAGGAGAGUGAACUGAAAAGAAGAGGAUCCUACAGCAAGUUGCUGACCCAGCUUACAGCACAGCUGCCCUCUUUCAUGAAAUGGGAAGAAUCUUUUGUGCCUCUCUGUACCAUUGUCCUCAAUGCUCGGUAGCUAUCACAGAGAAGUUGUUAUUGUUAGCAAGUAAUCAUAAUUCCAAGAAGCCACCAGCUAAGGGGGUUCUGAUGGAUGCUUUUCUCUUUCUUCAGAAAACAAGUAAGACCCCUCUAUCUUGGAAAAGCCUGACAAAUGUUCCCUAGAGGCUACUGAGGAAGGGAGCAUUCCACAUCCCAUGAUGGUAUGAGGGAUGAAGAUCCCUGCCUGGGAAACAAGAGCAACACAGGGAGUGGGCGACAGUCCUGUCUCAGCCACAUGGCCUUGGGCAUGUCCUUUAGCCUCCUGGGUCCUCUCUUUCUCCAUCUACCAAUCAAGGAGGCUCUAAAGACCUUCCCACUCCAAUGACCUUGCCUUCACCUGGGGCAUCAGAGAGAGGGCAGGGUUCUCGUUCCCCUGGGUCUUCCCCCAGCCCUGUUGACCUAGGAAGGCUACUGCCAACCCUCAGCCAAGAUCUACCUUCCCUCUUGAGGAUUGGUCAUGCUCAGAAAUCAACUAAUUUGGGGGACCAACAUGAAACAAAACACACUACAAGGAAACUCUUUGAUAAGCCCUCCACCUAGGUACACACACACACACACACACACACACACACACACACACAUCUACAGACACACUCAAUCCCUAAAGUGUAAGUAUUUUCCCUUCCAUGUAUCAAGCCUAUUUUACCCUUUCUAACUGCCAGUGUGUUAGGAGAGAAUUCAAUCCCACUAAUGGAAAACACUGCUUCCUUUUAGGGAGCUUAGCUAAACCUCAGUGUUUGGGGGUGACCCUGGGCAGGUCCCAAAACACAUUAACGGCAGCCCAGAAAUGUAGGCUCUACCAACCGAGACUGAGGCAGUAAAUAGUUAGCACAGUGCCAGGGUCCAGAUCCUUCCCUCCUUGCUUGUCCACCUCCACUGCCUCCCCCACCCACAGAUAUGUUGUUCUGUGGUGGUGGUGGCCUGUUCCAGCCUGCCCGUCUGCCUGCACAGAGUGCCGUGGACUUAUUCUGUAAUGUACUGUGUAUAUGUAUGUCCUGACUGUGGUUUACUACAAAUAAAAAUGACAGCAGAUUGCUGACCUCUGA